GAGUUUGAUCCUGGCUCAGGAUGAACGCUGGCGGCAUGCCUAAUACAUGCAAGUCGAACGAGAGGAAGGAAAGCUUGCUUUUCUGAAUCUAGUGGCGAACGGGUGAGUAACACGUAGGUAACCUGCCCUUGUGCCCGGGAUAACUUCUGGAAACGGAUGCUAAAACCGGAUAGGUAGCAGACAAGCAUUUGACUGCUAUUAAAGUGGCUAAGGCCAUGAACAUGGAUGGACCUGCGGUGCAUUAGCUAGUUGGUGAGGUAACGGCCCACCAAGGCGACGAUGCAUAGCCGGCCUGAGAGGGCGGACGGCCACAUUGGGACUGAGACACGGCCCAAACUCCUACGGGAGGCAGCAGUAGGGAAUUUUCGUCAAUGGGGGGAACCCUGAACGAGCAAUGCCGCGUGAGUGAGGAAGGUCUUCGGAUCGUAAAGCUCUGUUGUAAGAGAAAAACGACAUUCAUAGGGAAUGAUGAGUGAGUGAUGGUAUCUUACCAGAAAGUCACGGCUAACUACGUGCCAGCAGCCGCGGUAAUACGUAGGUGGCGAGCGUUAUCCGGAAUGAUUGGGCGUAAAGGGUGCGUAGGUGGCAGAACAAGUCUGGAGUAAAAGGUAUGGGCUCAACCCGUACUGGCUCUGGAAACUGUUCAGCUAGAGAACAGAAGAGGACGGCGGAACUCCAUGUGUAGCGGUAAAAUGCGUAGAUAUAUGGAAGAACACCGGUGGCGAAGGCGGCCGUCUGGUCUGUUGCUGACACUGAAGCACGAAAGCGUGGGGAGCAAAUAGGAUUAGAUACCCUAGUAGUCCACGCCGUAAA
rnacentral:rRNA from 1 species